rnacentral:rRNA from 1 species
UUAAGCGACUAAGCGUACACGGUGGAUGCCCUGGCAGUCAGAGGCGAUGAAGGACGUGCUAAUCUGCGAAAAGCGCCGGCGAGGUGAUAUGAACCUUUGACCCGGCGAUGUCCGAAUGGGGAAACCCAGUGUGUUCCGACACACUAUCGUUAACUGAAUACAUAGGUUAACGAGGCGAACCGGGGGAACUGAAACAUCUAAGUACCCCGAGGAAAAGAAAUCAACCGAGAUUCCCCCAGUAGCGGCGAGCGAACGGGGAGCAGCCCAGAGUCUGAAUCAGCUUGUGUGUUAGUGGAACGGUCUGGAAAGUCCGACGGUACAGGGUGAUAGUCCCGUACACGAAAAUGCACAGGCUGUGAACUCGAAGAGUAGGGCGGGACACGUGGUAUCCUGUCUGAAUAUGGGGGGACCAUCCUCCAAGGCUAAAUACUCCUGACUGACCGAUAGUGAACCAGUACCGUGAGGGAAAGGCGAAAAGAACCCCGGCGAGGGGAGUGAAAAAGAACCUGAAACCGUGUACGUACAAGCAGUGGGAGCACCUUCGGGUGUGACUGCGUACCUUUUGUAUAAUGGGUCAGCGACUUAUAUUCUGUAGCAAGGUUAACCGUAUAGGGGAGCCGAAGGGAAACCGAGUCUUAACUGGGCGUUAAGUUGCAGGGUAUAGACCCGAAACCCGGUGAUCUAGCCAUGGGCAGGUUGAAGGUUGGGUAACACUAACUGGAGGACCGAACCGACUAAUGUUGAAAAAUUAGCGGAUGACUUGUGGCUGGGGGUGAAAGGCCAAUCAAACCGGGAGAUAGCUGGUUCUCCCCGAAAGCUAUUUAGGUAGCGCCUCGUGAACUCAUCUUCGGGGGUAGAGCACUGUUUCGGCUAGGGGGCCAUCCCGGCUUACCAACCCGAUGCAAACUACGAAUACCGAAGAAUGUUAUCACGGGAGACACACGGCGGGUGCUAACGUCCGUCGUGAAGAGGGAAACAACCCAGACCGCCAGCUAAGGUCCCAAAGUCAUGGUUAAGUGGGAAACGAUGUGGGAAGGCACAGACAGCCAGGAUGUUGGCUUAGAAGCAGCCAUCAUUUAAAGAAAGCGUAAUAGCUCACUGGUCGAGUCGGCCUGCGCGGAAGAUGUAACGGGGCUAAACCAUGCACCGAAGCUGCGGCAGCGACACUAUGUGUUGUUGGGUAGGGGAGCGUUCUGUAAGCCGUUGAAGGUGGCCUGUGAGGGUUGCUGGAGGUAUCAGAAGUGCGAAUGCUGACAUAAGUAACGAUAAAGCGGGUGAAAAGCCCGCUCGCCGGAAGACCAAGGGUUCCUGUCCAACGUUAAUCGGGGCAGGGUGAGUCGACCCCUAAGGCGAGGCCGAAAGGCGUAGUCGAUGGGAAACAGGUUAAUAUUCCUGUACUUGGUGUUACUGCGAAGGGGGGACGGAGAAGGCUAUGUUAGCCGGGCGACGGUUGUCCCGGUUUAAGCAUGUAGGCGGAACGAUUAGGUAAAUCCGGUCGUUUUUUAACGCUGAGGUGUGAUGACGAGGCACUACGGUGCUGAAGUAACAAAUGCCCUGCUUCCAGGAAAAGCCUCUAAGCAUCAGGUAACAUCAAAUCGUACCCCAAACCGACACAGGUGGUCAGGUAGAGAAUACCAAGGCGCUUGAGAGAACUCGGGUGAAGGAACUAGGCAAAAUGGUGCCGUAACUUCGGGAGAAGGCACGCUGAUAUGUAGGUGAAGCCCCUGCGGGUGGAGCUGAAAUCAGUCGAAGAUACCAGCUGGCUGCAACUGUUUAUUAAAAACACAGCACUGUGCAAACACGAAAGUGGACGUAUACGGUGUGACGCCUGCCCGGUGCCGGAAGGUUAAUUGAUGGGGUUAGCGGCAACGCGAAGCUCUUGAUCGAAGCCCCGGUAAACGGCGGCCGUAACUAUAACGGUCCUAAGGUAGCGAAAUUCCUUGUCGGGUAAGUUCCGACCUGCACGAAUGGCGUAAUGAUGGCCAGGCUGUCUCCACCCGAGACUCAGUGAAAUUGAACUCGCUGUGAAGAUGCAGUGUACCCGCGGCAAGACGGAAAGACCCCGUGAACCUUUACUAUAGCUUGACACUGAACACUGGUCCUUGAUGUGUAGGAUAGGUGGGAGGCUUUGAAGUGUGGACGCCAGUCUGCAUGGAGCCGUCCUUGAAAUACCACCCUUUAAUGGCUGGUGUUCUAACGUAGACCCGUAAUCCGGGUUGCGGACAGUGUCUGGUGGGUAGUUUGACUGGGGCGGUCUCCUCCCAAAGAGUAACGGAGGAGCACGAAGGUUAGCUAAUCCUGGUCGGACAUCAGGAGGUUAGUGCAAUGGCAUAAGCUAGCUUGACUGCGAGAGUGACGGCUCGAGCAGGUGCGAAAGCAGGUCAUAGUGAUCCGGUGGUUCUGAAUGGAAGGGCCAUCGCUCAACGGAUAAAAGGUACUCCGGGGAUAACAGGCUGAUACCGCCCAAGAGUUCAUAUCGACGGCGGUGUUUGGCACCUCGAUGUCGGCUCAUCACAUCCUGGGGCUGAAGUAGGUCCCAAGGGUAUGGCUGUUCGCCAUUUAAAGUGGUACGCGAGCUGGGUUUAGAACGUCGUGAGACAGUUCGGUCCCUAUCUGCCGUGGGCGCUGGAGAAUUGAGGGGGGCUGCUCCUAGUACGAGAGGACCGGAGUGGACGCAUCACUGGUGUUCGGGUUGUCAUGCCAAUGGCACUGCCCGGUAGCUAAAUGCGGAAGAGAUAAGUGCUGAAAGCAUCUAAGCACGAAACUUGCCCCGAGAUGAGUUCUCCCUGAGCCUUUAAGGCUCCUGAAGGAACGUUGAAGACGACGACGUUGAUAGGUCGGGUGUGUAAGCGCAGCGAUGCGUUGAGCUAACCGAUACUAAUGAACCGUGAGGCUUAACCUU